rnacentral:rRNA from 1 species
UACGUAGGGGGCAAGCGUUGUCCGGAUUUACUGGGCGUAAAGAGCGUGUAGGCGGCCACGCAGGUCCGUUGUGAAAACUGAAGGCUCAACCUCCAGACGUCGACGGAAACCGUAUGGCUAGAGUCCGGAAGAGGAGAGUGGAAUUCCUGGUGUAGCGGUGAAAUGCGCAGAUAUCAGGAAGAACACCAAUGGGCGAAGGCAGCUCUCUGGGACGGUACUGGACGCGAAGACGACGAAGCGUGGGGAGCGAACAGG